ACGGAGAGUUUGAUUCUGGCUCAGGACGAACGCUGGCGGCGUGCUUAACACAUGCAAGUCGAACGGUGAAGACCAGCUUGCUGGUUGGAUCAGUGGCGAACGGGUGAGUAACACGUGAGCAACCUGCCCUUCACUCUGGGAUAAGCCCUGGAAACGGGGCCUAAUACCGGAUAUGACACUGCUACGCAUGUGGUGGUGUGGAAAGAUUUAUCGGUGGGGGAUGGGCUCGCGGCCUAUCAGCUUGUUGGUGGGGUGAUGGCCUACCAAGGCGACGACGGGUAAAGCCGGCCUGAGAGGGCGACCGGCCACACUGGGACUGAGACACGGCCCAGACUCCUACGGGAGGCAGCAGUGGGGAAUAUUGCACAAUGGGCGCAAGCCUGAUGCAGCGACGCCGCGUGAGGGAUGACGGCCUUCGGGUUGUAAACCUCUUUCAGCAGGGAAGCGCAAGUGACGGUACCUGCAGAAGAAGCGCCGGCUAACUACGUGCCAGCAGCCGCGGUGAUACGUAGGGCGCAAGCGUUGUCCGGAAUUAUUGGGCGUAAAGAGCUCGUAGGCGGUUAGUCGCGUCUGCUGUGAAAACUCGAGGCUCAACCUCGGGCUUGCAGUGGGUACGGGCUGACUAGAGUGCGGUAGGGGUGACUGGAAUUCCUGGUGUAGCGGUGGAAUGCGCAGAUAUCAGGAGGAACACCGAUGGCGAAAGGCAGGUCACUGAGCCGCAACUGACGCUGAGCAGAAAGCAUGGGGAGCGAACAGGAUUAGAUACCCUGGUAGUCCAUGCCGUAAACGUUGGGCACUAGGUGUGGGACCCAUUCCACGGGUUCCGUGCCGCAGCUAACGCAUUAAGUGCCCCGCCUGGGGAGUACGGCCGCAAGGCUAAAACUCAAAGAAAUUGACGGGGGCCCGCACAAGCGGCAGACAUGCGGAUUAAUUCGAUGCAACGCGAAGAACCUUACAAGGCUUGACAUACACCGGAAAAGUGCAGAGAUGUGCUCCCCGUAAGGUCGGUGUACAGGUGGUGCAUGGUUGUCGUCAGCUCGUGUCGUGAGAUGUUGGGUUAAGUCCCGCAACGAGCGCAACCCUCGUCCCAUGUUGCCAGCGGGUUAUGCCGGGGACUCAUGGGAGACUGCCGGGGUCAACUCGGAGGAAGGUGGGGAUGAGCGUCAAAUCAUCAUGCCCCUUAUGUCUUGGGCUUCACGCAUGCUACAAUGGCCGGUACAAAGGGCUGCGAUACCGUAAGGUGGAGCGAAUCCCAAAAAGCCGGUCUCAGUUCGGAUUGGGGUCUGCAACUCGACCCCAUGAAGUCGGAGUCGCUAGUAAUCGCAGAUCGCUAACGCUGCGGUGAAUACGUUCCCGGGCCUUGUACACACCGCCCGUCAAGUCACGAAAGUCGGUAACACCCGAAGCCGGUGGCCCAACCCCGCGGGGGAGCCGUCGAAGGUGGGACUGGCGAUUGGACUAAGUCGUAACAAGGUAGCCGUACCGGAAGGUGCGGCUGGAUCUACCUCCUU
rnacentral:rRNA from 1 species